rnacentral:rRNA from 1 species
AUACGGAAGGUCCGGGCGUUAUCCGGAUUUAUUGGGUUUAAAGGGAGCGCAGGCGGAGAUGCAAGCGUGACGUCAAAUUUCGGGGCUCAACCCCGUCUCGCGUCGCGAACUGCGUCCCUUGGUUGCGGGAAGGGGAGGCGGAACUCGUGGUGUAGCGGUGAAAUGCAUAGAUAUCACGAAGAACUCCGAUCGCGAAGGCAGCCUUCCGGCCCGUCAACGACGCUCAUGCUCGAAGGUGCGGGUAUCAAACAGGAUUAGAUACCCUGGUAGUCCGCACAGUAAACGAUGGACACCCGCGGUUUGGCCUGUAUGGCUGAGCCGCCAAGCGAAAGCGUUAAGUGUCCCACCUGGGGAGUACGCCGGCAACGGUGAAACUCAAAUGAAUUGACGGG